CUCGCUUCCGUUUCCGCGGGUGGCGGCGGGGGAGUUCCGCCGUCCGCGUGCAGGGGCGUCGGCGCUGCCCGGCUCCCCCGCUCGCUCCCCUUCCCCUCUCCGCCCCGCACCUCCCUUUCCCGGCUCCUCCUCCCCCCUUGACCUGCUCCUUCUCCUCCUCUGUCUCCCCCACCUCCCCCUGCUCCCCUCCCCCUGCUGCUCCUUCCCCCAUCCCGCGCCCCUGCCCGUCCUCCUCUCCCACUUCCUCUGUCACGGCCCACGUCUUUGGUCACAUUGGGUAGGAGUUUCCCAACUCACCAGAAACACCAGAACCCACCGCCACCCCCGCCUCUGUCCCCGAGUCCCCCCCCUGCCCCCCCCCCCCCCCGUCCCAUCCCCCAAGUCCCCACCACGCACACCUUCUAUUUUAGCCUCGCUCUUCCCGGAACCAGCCUCGCAGACUCCCACCUCAGUGCCCGGUACAGCGCCCCACCCCCCCUCGCUUGGCAUUUCUCUUCCCCCGGAUAUCUGCCGGGCUCCUUCCUUCACGACUGCCCCGCCACCUUAUCAGAAAGGCCUUCCCCCGCCACCUUGUGCAAAAUGAAAUAGCGCCGGCUCUCCCGGGCCGCGCUCCCCCUUAUCGCGGAGCACCACCUGGCCUGCAACACGUUCAUUUGUUCUUUGCGUUCUGAGCCCCCCCCACACACACACACCCCCACCCCCCUGCGCCCCAACUGGGAUGCUGUGGGGUGGACGCUUUGUCUCUCUGCCCCGUCCUGCCCCACUGCCUGGCAGGUGAUGGUUGCUCUCAGCAAGCACUUGAGAAUGAACGGAGGCUGGGUGCUGUGCUAAGGGCCUGACACACGGGGCUCCAUUUCCCAGGUCGGAAAGGCGCCCGGAGACGCGAAGUCAACAGAUCCACGUUCGUGCUUUCUAACGAAGACGGAGACAGAUGAUGAGCGAGUGAACGAUGGAUAAUCGCAGCUCUAGAGCAGAAGCCCUUCUGUUCUUGCUAACGGAUGCACCCCCAGCACUGGGACAGUGUCCCGCACGUACUUCAUAGGCACUAAAGACGAAGUAAUCAACUCGCUCGCUACAGCAUUAAGUAAUUAAUCAAGUCUCUCAUGGAGGAAUGAAUAUACUUCGACGAAUUCCCAAAGGUCUUCAACAGCCAUCAGCUUUGGGGACUGUCUUAUUUCUAUUGACUUUGUGGUUCUUGGCAACUGACCAGUUAACUAAAACCUGGGGUCUGCCCUGGCCGGAUGCCCCCACCCACUUCCUUGACACCCCUCCUGCCUCAAAGAGGCUCAUUCGCCUUGACCAUCUCA